ACUGAACGCUGGCGGCAGGCCUAACACAUGCAAGUCGAACGGUAACAGGAAGCAGCUUGCUGCUUUGCUGACGAGUGGCGGACGGGUGAGUAAUGUCUGGGAAACUGCCCGAUGGAGGGGGAUAACUACUGGAAACGGUAGCUAAUACCGCAUAACGUCGCAAGACCAAAGAGGGGGACCUUAGGGCCUCUUGCCAUCGGAUGUGCCCAGAUGGGAUGAGCUAGUAGGUGGGGUAACGGCUCACCUAGGCGACGAUCCCUAGCUGGUCUGAGAGGAUGACCAGCCACACUGGAACUGAGGCACGGUCCAGACUCCUACGGGAGGCAGCAGUGGGGAAUAUUGCACAACGGGCGCAAGCCUGAUGCAGCCAUGCGGCGUGUAUGAAGAAGGCCUUCGGGUGGGAAAGUAAUGUCAGCGGGGAGGAAGGGAGUAAAGUUAAUACCUGUGCUCAUUGACGUUACCCGGAGAAGAAGCACCGGCUAACUCCGUG
rnacentral:rRNA from 1 species